CAGAGCUGCGCCUGCUCGCUCCCCUCGCCCCCGCUGCUCUGAGGUGGAGAUCAAAGCACCUGGCUCCACCUGGUGGCCAGAAGGUGGCGCACGCUGCAUUCACUGCCACUGGGGGGAAAAAGAAAACAACGAGAUGCUGAAUGGAAAAUAGAUGAACAAGCACAGCUGCCGACAGUGACACAGCAGCACGAUACGGCAUUCCUCGGAGAUACAACUGAGCAGCGGACUCAGGAGAAAUCGGAUAAGUUUCAGUGUGAAAACUGUGAGCUGAAAUCUGUUUACCUCAAGGUAGAAUCUGGGGCUUUCAGGCAUGAAGAGCUGUCCAGCGUGUGCGGUUCCCGUGUGUCUACGAGCUGCUCACCACAGCCUCUAUAAUGAACACUGAAGCCUUGUCAGGAGGACACAAAUCACAGGGCCGGCUCCAGCUCCCAUAAUGCCAUUUUACUGGGCAAAACGACACUGCUGAUUCAAGAGUGAGCACAUACAAGGACACACACCUGCUAAAUGGGGCAUAUCCUGAUGGAGCCUGUCUGUCAGUGAGUCAGUGGAGUGUAUGUUGAGGCCUGCUGUCAGCGGUGAUGAAGCUCAGUGGACACCCGAGCGCACAGACGACCAACCUCACCUGAUCGCAGCCGACGAGACCUCGACAGCGCAGAUGAGAGCAAUCGCAAUCAAACCGCACGACCAGCAACAAUCCUAAAAAAGCCUAUCUCUGUUUUAUUCUACACUUUCUCUGCUCCAUUCAAUGUCUCCUGCAUCUUCUUGCUUCACUUUCAUCUAUUUGCAUUUGCAUCUAUUGUUUCCACUACCAGUCUUCAUACUCCGCCAAGUCUCUUUUUUUGUAUUAUACCUGAUAUUUCACAUCAUUACAUAUUACUUCACACCAUCAUUACUUACCCUCAAGGCAACCAAACUUUAGUAUACAUAAAGACAAAGUAUCCACACUGAACCAAGGGCAUAUAGCUGUACUCUAUAAUUAGAAUGAAGAGCAUUAAUAUGGUGCGUGUAACCUAGCAAUGGAGCAUGUGACGAUGGCUGAAAAUAGGCCUUGCUCUGGCAAUACCCUCUGUCUGCAUGAUGGAUAGCGGUCCUGCUUUCCUUCAGCGUCUUUAAAAUACUGUACAACACUAGGUCAGGUAUCACUUGGCCCCAAAUCUCCUCUCGCAUCAACAUGAAGACGGAUAAAGAGCUUGGAGUUAUAGGAGCUUUGGCCGUACACAGUACCCAACUCACAUAAAAAAGAGAUAAUGUUAAUAGCCAGAGUGCAACUAACUCUGUCCAUUUUAACUCAACCACGAGCAAUUUCAGUCAGAAUCAGUACAAUGCUCUUUGUCAAAUGUAUUGAUGUCAGUGUCAGUUUUGUCCAGCAUUCACCGAACAGAUUAGUUGUUGUUAGAGUAAGAAGUAAAAAAAAUCAAUUCUCUCCUAGAAUUUCAGGUUGCUUGACCCACAAUUGCUGUAGGAGACAAUUACUAAAUAUUUUUCAUGAGAACUGAAGGAAAAUCAAUAGUACAUUUUCAGUUCAGACCACUACUCCAGACAUUGACUAUUUCACAGAACAUGAGGCAAAACUCUUUUUGUACACUGCAACUCAAUGUUAUAAUAAAUGCACGAUGCUUGCUGCAUUGCAUUAAUGGCAA